rnacentral:lncRNA from 1 species
AGCAUUGGAAUUCAGUAACAAGUUCUUCUAUUUAGCCUCAGAGUACGUAGGAAGCAGAGUGGUAUACAUUUUUUAAUCUGGAAUUUAUUCACAUUACACAUAAUUUGCAAUCUGCUCUCCAAUGUCCCCUGGAGUGUUUGGUUUCCCAUGAUGGCUUGUCGACUGUCCAGUAUUUUCCUGACUGCCCAAGAAGCAGCCUUAGGGAUCUUUAUUGUUUCAACAGUGUUAUGCUUAAUGUAGUAGUUAUGUACCCAUUUUAUCCAAAGACAAUCCUUCUUCCUUGUUAGGUCCCAAAGGUGUUUGCAUAUUGCUCAUUUGUUCCAUGUCUUCAAAUCAAGUAUAUUUAGCCCUCCUGCUGUUUUAGGUCUGCAAAUCUUCUCCCAAGCAACUAAGGCCUUCCUAGAUGGAUUUGCUUUCCCAGUCUAUAAGAAGGUUCUGCAGAUAGCUUCAAUGGUUUUCAGAACCUUCUUAGGUAGAAUGAAAAUUUGAGCCCAAUAUGUCUGAAUGCCAAUGAUGACAGUUUUAAUCAACUGGGAUCUUCAAGCAUAGGAGAGUAACUUUGCUGACCAGCAUGUUAUCUUGGCAGUGAUCUUCUCAAUUAGUGGUAGAUAGUGAUGUAGAGCCAGUUUCUUGGAAUCUAGUGGUAUCCCCAGAUAUCUAAAUGGAAUUUCUCCUUCAGUGAAUCCCAGUGUUCUAAGUAUUAUCUCUUUACUGUUCUGAUCUACACCUGCCAUGUAAAUGGCACUCUUGCUGAUAUUUGCCUGUAGUCCAGAUGCAUUGGAGAAUCUGUGGAAUGCCUCAUUUAAUAUUCUGAUAGAGAUGAUAUCUGCUCUACAAAACAUUAAUAAGUCAUCAGCAAAACAUACAUGAACACUUUUAAACUUGCUACAUUUAGGAUGGAAGUUGAAGUUUCCAUUCCUGUGGAGCUGCCCCAAUUCUCUGUUUAAAUACUCCAUAGUUAUCACAAACAGAUAAGGUGACAUUGGGUCCCCCUGUCUAAUGCCCCUCUUAGCUUUAGAUGGCUUUGUUAAUACUCCAUUUAGUACAAGAGAGUAGGACACAGUGGAGACACAUGCCAUAAUCCAUUGAACAAACCUUGCUGGAAAUCCUAAUGCAAUAAGAACCUGCUUUAGGAAAUUCCAUUCCAAAGUAUCAUAUGCCUUUCUUAAGUCUACUUUCAGCACACAUCUGGGAGAUACACCUUUCCGAGAGUAUCCUUUGAAUAUUUCUUGGCUAAGGAGUAUGUUAUCUAUUAUGCUUCUACCUUCUAUAAAAGCAGACUGAGCCUGUCCAAUUAUGUCACCCAUGACCUUCUUCAUUCUGUUGGUUAGGACUUUGGAGAUUAUCUUAUACAUUAUUGUGCAACAUGCCUGUCCAAUUAUGUCACCCAUGAAAUUCUUCAUUCUGUUGGUUAGGACUUUGGAGAUGAUCUUAUACAUUGUUGUGCAACAUGCUAUUGGCCUGUAAUCCUUAACUGCUGUAGGCACUUUAACUUUGGAUAUCAGUGUGAUGGCUGUUGUGUUGAUAAAUGGAGGCAUUCUGGCAGUGGUGAAAAAAUCAUUUGUAGCAGCAAAGAUGUCAUCCUUGAUUAGUUCCCAAUUCUCCGUGAAGAAUUCCAUGGGGAAUCCAUCAACUCCAGGUGCUUUGUCUUUGGGUAGCUCUCUAAUUGCUUCUAUGAUCUCCUUUUUGGUGACAUCCUGUAUUAUCUGUUUCUGCUGUGGUAGAGUUAGACAUGUUUCCUCCUUUAUGAUUGCUGUGUUUACACAUGGUAGUUCUCCAGCACUGUCUCCCAUUAAUGAGUGAAAUACUCUGAUGAAUUCCUGUUCCACUACUAUAGGAUCAGUCAAUGUUAUACCUGUUUCAGUAUAGAUGGAGGUGAUGCUGUUCUGACUGUUUCUGAUUUUCAACUGAGCAUAGAAGUAUUUUGAGUUUGCAUCUCCACAUUCAAUCCAGGUUGCUUUGGAUUUCUGUCUCAGUAUUUGUUCCUCCACAUUGCUCCAUUUCUGGAUUUCUUCCAGUGCUUUUCUUUCCUCAUUAAGCAAGUUUUGACAUUUUGGCUUGUGCUGCAGCUGAUUUUGAAUAAUGUGUAGUUUCUCUCUGGCUUGGGCAAGUUUUUGUCUAUAUGAG